ACAACAACAUUCGGACCGUCGGUCUACCGAGCAAUAUCACCCACUCGGUGGAAGAUCUUCCCUUUGUCGUUGGCA
rnacentral:pre_miRNA from 1 species